UAUAUAUAUAUAUAUAUAUAUAUAUAUAUAUAUAUAUAUAUUAGUGUGAAAACCUAUUUGCCCCCUUCCUGAUUUCUUAUUCUUUUGCAUGUUUGCCACACAAAAUGUUUCUGAUCAUCAAACACAUUUAACCGUUAGUCAAAGAUAACACAAGUAAACAAAAAAUGCAGUUUUGAAAUAAUGUUUUUUAUUAUUUAGGGAGAGAACAAAAUCCAAACCUACAUUGCCCUGUGUGAAAACGUAAUUGCCCCCUGAACCUUUGUUUUUAUGUUUUCUCUUCUAAUUAUUCUCCAAGUGUUGCUGCUGCUGUAACAAGUGAAUUUCCUCACUGUGGGAUCAAUAAAGUUGCUUCUAUUCUAUUCUAUUCUAUUCUAUUAUAAACAUCACUGUAGCCUGUUUCAUUUUCAUUAGACUAAAUAUUUAAGCAUUAAAACCCACGUCUCCUUCAAAAAACAGAUUAUCACCUGAGAAUCUGUAAAAUUCUUGCACUUCUCCAAUAAGUGAACACAAAAACAGGCUGAGACCGGAUUUGGUAAAAAUGAUUAGUUUGCUCUUUGGAAACUUAAGUCUCCACCGGCUUUUCAAGUCUAGUUGUGUUUCUUCGACUGAAUCAGCUCGAUGGCGUCAAACUUGCAGGCAUGCCCUGAAUUCUGAAUGUCAAUAACCUUAGUCUGCUCGGCCAGGAGUCCAUUAGCUUUUGAGAAGGAGAGAAGAGGGGGAGAAGGAGGAGGAGGAAGGUGGAGGCUUUUGAGGGCAGAAAAAUGCAUUGUGUUCAGGCCAAAUUCUUCUAGCUUAAAAGAAGUUUAUAAAAAGUCCAACAGCGUGUGUGCAUUCCAAGGCUGUAAAGUUAGAUUAGCAAACAGCCUUUGUAUCUGAGCAAACUAAAUGCUCUUGUCUCUUUUUGACCCCAACCUUUCCUAAUUGCUGGAAGGCCAUCUGUGUAGGGUCAAUGUAUACCCUCCUUAAAUUAGCUGAGGAGACAAAUGGUUUGUUUUUAAUUCUGAAGUGAAAAUAAAAAGAGAAAGGAAGGAAAAAAUGGGUUUCCUUACGGUUAAUCUCACUGUUAUUCCUCCAAACUAAAUGCAUUUAACAUGAAAUACAGCAGCAAGUGAAAGUUAUCUAGGUCUGAGUUAAAGGGGAAAAAAACAUGAUUUUCAUUUUAGAAAGUCCCAAAACAGCCCAGAAUGUACAUCAGUUGGGUCAUUGUGUGAUGAGCUGCCAGAAGAUAAAAGGAAAAACCAAAGGCUCGCUGAAAUGAACCGGCUGCUGACUCCCGUUUAUCUUGGACAGUAUUCGCUUUUUAUUGCGAUCAAAGCCGCGCUUGUUAGGCUUUUUUGACAAGCUGCUCCAAAAAGUGACCGUCACUUACAGUCCCCGUGAACUGUCAGUUGAUCUGAGCUCCAUCUCUACCAGAGAGAAACUCCUGGAGCUCUGCAUCGCUCCAGUUUGUCAUCUCGACUGAUUCUGUUUACAAAACCUAUACUUACUGACGUGCUUACCUUCAUUUUCAAUAUAGUUUCCAGCCGGACCUCGGCAGUAAUUUCCCACAUGAUCGUGACACCUCCCUCUGUUGUGACAAGGUGUAUUCACAAGUCCGGCGUUGCAGCAAGAUUCACCAUGCUGCCACGGGACGUUCAUAAGACACUGAUUUGCAGGCAUGGUGUUGUCAGGUACUGGGUUUGUGGGUUCACAUUUCCUCUUCACAGGUUGUUGGAGGGCUAGGGAGACUCAUAAGGAGACUCCAUCCAGCUAAUUACCUCGGCUGCAGAGUCACCCUGCUCACCUACAGCCCAUCAUGUAAUUAGACGGGAGGAAUAAAGGAGCCAGUGAACCAGCCACUCAGCGCCAGAUUGUUUGCCUUAGUGGUAACGUCCAGCCACCUGAAUCUGUUCCUGUUAUCCGAUCUUAUUCUAGUCUGUUCCCUGAAACCUCUGUCUGUCAUCACAGGAUUCCUAGAACCCGUUCUGGAUUACACCUUUGUAUGGAAGUCUCAUACCAGCCUCUGCAGCUCCCGGAUCUCCUGAACCACGGCUGAAUCCUCCCUGGCUCUGUUCUCCUCCAGUGCGUCUCCUGUUCACCCUCCAACAACCCGCCUCACUUCUCCGAACCUCCACAUCUACCCACAGCCCCGGUACCGGCUCACCUCUCCCACGCUCCGCUACAACCAAAUCUCAUGAUCCAAUCUCUAGCUCCGGAACCAGCCCAUCCCUGCCAGCCUCCGCUCACCUCUAAUAAACUAUUUUUUACUACA